AAGGUAGCAUAAUCACUUGCCUCCUAAUUAGAGGCUAGUAUGAACGGAUAGACGAAAGCAUAUUUGUCUCCCCUAUGGCACUAAAAAUUAUCUUUCAGGUGAAGAGACCUGGAUACUAUAAAAAGACGAAAAGACCCUAUGGAGCUUUACUCUCCUUAAUAUUUAAAAGAAAUGAAAAGAAAUUUCUUUAUUAAAAAAGUUUAGUUGGGGCGACUAAGGAGUACAACAAAGCCUCCUUCCUCUAAAGAAAAUAAAUCAUCCUAAAAUCCACGAAAGUGAAUAAAAAUCCAGCUACCCUAGGGAUAACAGGCUAAUCCUCCUCGAUAGCUCGCAUUGACAGGAGGGAUUGGCACCUCGAUGUUGGCUUAAGGUACCUUUAAAGUGCAGCAGCUUUUAUAGUGGGUUUGUUCAACCCUUAAAACCUUACGUGAUCUGAGUUCAGAC
rnacentral:rRNA from 1 species